GAUGAACGCUGGCGGCGCGCCUAACACAUGCAAGUCGAGCGAAUGGAUUAAGAGCUUGCUCUUAUGAAGUUAGCGGCGGACGGGUGAGUAACACGUGGGUAACCUGCCCAUAAGACUGGGAUAACUCCGGGAAACCGGGGCUAAUACCGGAUAACAUUUUGAACCGCAUGGUUCGAAAUUGAAAGGCGGCUUCGGCUGUCACUUAUGGAUGGACCCGGGUCGCAUUAGCUAGUUGGUGAGGUAACGGCUCACCAAGGCAACGAUGCGUAGCCGACCUGAGAGGGUGAUCGGCCACACUGGGACUGAGACACGGCCCAGACUCCUACGGGAGGCAGCAGUAGGGAAUCUUCCGCAAUGGACGAAAGUCUGACGGAGCAACGCCGCGUGAGUGAUGAAGGCUUUCGGGUCGUAAAACUCUGUUGUUAGGGAAGAACAAGUGCUAGUUGAAUAAGCUGGCACCUUGACGGUACCUAACCAGAAAGCCACGGCUAACUACGUGCCAGCCGCCGCAGUAA
rnacentral:rRNA from 1 species